GGGCUACCUGGUAGGAAAGGCAAAGAGCAGCUCGGGCAGCACAACUGGCAGCUGAGCGUGGGGUGUUGUUUGAUUCUAGUUUGGAGGAGAAUGCAGGAGCAGCUGAGGGUGGGAUGUUGGCUGGUUGCAACUCAGAGGAAGGUUUGUAAUAAAAGGAAGGCUGGUUGCAAUAGGGACCUUACGACUGGCAAAGUGUAUGCUAAGUUGCAUGUUAUGCUGGGUCGUGAUUCCUGAACUUCGUGGAUUCAUUGGGAUUUGCUACUAUUCUUGGUUUGGACCUUGGAUCGCUUCUGGACAUCGUGUUCGCUCUUGUGCCCUGACUUUGGAUUGGAUGUUGAUGCUGCUGCUAUAUCCUAUUUGCUGUGGAUUACCCCUGAGCUGGCUUGACUAAGACUUUACUUCAUCUUGGAACAUGUUCGCUGAAACGAUAGCGAAUACCUCUGCCAGGAGCAACCGAAGUUGCUUCUGGAGUGAGAGAAUUGGCAGUCUGCAAGGACAUUGCCCAGGGGACGCCCAGAUGUUUUUGAUGUUUUACCAUCCUUGUGGGAGGCUUCUCUCAUGUCCCCGCAUGGAGCUGGAGCUGAUAGAGGGAGCUCAUCCGCACUCUCCCCAGGUGGGAUUCGAACCUGGCAACUUUCAGGUCAGCAACCCAACCUUCAAGUCACUUAGCCCACUACGCCAUC
rnacentral:lncRNA from 11 species